AUUGAACGCUGGCGGCAUGCUUUACACAUGCAAGUCGAACGGCAGCGGGGGCUUCGGCCUGCCGGCGAGUGGCGAACGGGUGAGUAAUGCAUCGGAACGUGCCCAGUCGUGGGGGAUAACACAUCGAAAGAUGUGCUAAUACCGCAUACGUCCUGAGGGAGAAAGCGGGGGAUCUUCGGACCUCGCGCGAUUGGAGCGGCCGAUGUCGGAUUAGCUAGUUGGUGGGGUAAAAGCCCACCAAGGCGACGAUCCGUAGCGGGUCUGAGAGGAUGAUCCGCCACACUGGGACUGAGACACGGCCCAGACUCCUACGGGAGGCAGCAGUGGGGAAUUUUGGACAAUGGGCGCAAGCCUGAUCCAGCCAUGCCGCGUGAGUGAAGAAGG
rnacentral:rRNA from 1 species